GGAGAUAUAGCUCAGUGGUAGAGCAAUCGGCUGCAGUCCGAUAGGUCGGUGGUUCAAUCCCGCCUGUCUCCU
rfam:Physcomitrella patens subsp. patens PHYPAscaffold_227 genomic scaffold, whole genome shotgun sequence.